UUUAUGUGCUGGGGCAGCUAGCAUUGCCCUAAGAAAUGGGGUCCUGUUACUCACCCCUCUGAGCCUCAGAUUUCUCAUCCAUAGGAUGGGAGCAAUGAUAGCGCCAGCCUUGCUGUACUCAGGUCCAGAUCCCGGGAAAUGAAAUUUGGGGAUGCUCCUUGACCAACGCCGGGCUUUUUAGUAGGCAAGAGGAUUGAACUCAGACCGUGUGAGUAGCUUAUUAAUGGAUCCACGGCUUGUGAAGUGGCCCAGCCUAAAAUUGCCAUCGUGUCUGACAAACAGAAAUGCCAAGAGGAACUCACACCUGACAAGGUGGAGGUUGCUGGAGCCCCGUGUCCCUGGGGAACCGCGACAGUUAGA
rnacentral:lncRNA from 1 species